GAUCAUGGCUCGAGGACGAACGCUGGCGGCGUGCUUAACACAUGCAAGUCGAACGGAAAGGCCCUUCGGGGUACUCGAGUGGCGAACGGGUGAGUGACACGUGGGUGAUCUGCCCUGCACUUUGGGAUAAGCCUGGGAAACUGGGUCUAAUACCGGAUAGGACUACGGCCUGCAUGGGUUGUGGUGGAAAGCUUUUGCGGUGUGGGAUGGGCCCGCGGCCUAUCAGCUUGUUGGUGGGGUGAUGGCCUACCAAGGCGACGACGGGUAGCCGGCCUGAGAGGGUGACCGGCCACACUGGGACUGAGAUACGGCCCAGACUCCUACGGGAGGCAGCAGUGGGAAUAUUGCACAAUGGGCGCAAGCCUGAUGCAGCGACGCCGCGUGGGGAUGACGGCCUUCGGGUUGUAAACCUCUUUCAGUGGGGACGAAGCGUAAGUGACGGUACCUAUAGAAGAAGCACCGGCCAACUACGUG
rnacentral:rRNA from 1 species